GGCCGCGGGAAUUCGAUUCAGGCCUAACACAUUCAAGUCGAGCGGAUGACGGGAGCUUGCUCCUUGAUUCAGCGGCGGACGGGUGAGUAAUGCCUAGGAAUCUGCCUGGUAGUGGGGGACAACGUUUCGAAAGGAACGCUAAUACCGCAUACGUCCUACGGGAGAAAGCAGGGGACCUUCGGGCCUUGCGCUAUCAGAUGAGCCUAGGUCGGAUUAGCUAGUUGGUGGGGUAAUGGCUCACCAAGGCGACGAUCCGUAACUGGUCUGAGAGGAUGAUCAGUCACACUGGAACUGAGACACGGUCCAGACUCCUACGGGAGGCAGCAGUGGGGAAUAUUGGACAAUGGGCGAAAGCCUGAUCCAUCCAGGCCGCGUGUGUGAAGAAGGUCUUCGGAUU
rnacentral:rRNA from 1 species